rnacentral:lncRNA from 1 species
CAGCCUCCAGAGCACCAGCACUGGCACUGGCACUGGCACACGCUAUGGCAAAUGAAGUGCAAGACCUGCUCUCCCCUCGGAAAGGGGGACAUCCUCCUGCAGUAAAAGCUGGAGGAAUGAGAAUUUCCAAAAAACAAGAAAUUGGCACCUUGGAAAGACAUACCAAAAAAACAGGAUUCGAGAAAACAAGCUCAACUAUAAAUUUCCAGCAACAGUGCACAUGGCGCAUCAAAAACCCACACCUGCUCUGGAAAAGGUUGUUCCACUGAAAAGGAUCUACAUUAUUCAGCAGCCUCGAAAAUGUUAAGCCUGGAUUUAAAACACAGCCGUCUGGCCAGCUGCCUCGAAUAUCUGACAGCUUAGCAAAAAGGGCCAAAGCUUUCCAUAGGCGUGCUGCACUUGCUUGGUAAAUUAAGCAGCUUUUGUAUCUUCCCCUUUGACUUUAGGUAAUAAAGCAUCCAAACUUGUAAAUCUGAC